rnacentral:rRNA from 1 species
UACGUAGGGGGCAAGCGUUGUCCGGAAUCAUUGGGCGUAAAGAGCGUGUAGGCGGCCCGGUAAGUCCGCUGUGAAAGUCCAGGGUUCAACCCUGGGAUGCCGGUGGAUACUGUCGGGCUCGAGUCCGGAAGAGGAGUGUGGAAUUCCUGGUGUAGCGGUGAAAUGCGCAGAUAUCAGGAGGAACACCAAUGGCGAAGGCAGCACUCUGGGACGUGACUGACGCUGAGACGCGAAAGCGUGGGGAGCAAACAGG